UACGUAGGGCGCAAGCGUUGUCCGGAAUUAUUGGGCGUAAAGAGCUCGUAGGCGGUCUGUUACGUCUGCUGUGAAAACCCGGGGCUUAACCCUGGGCUUGCAGUGGAUACGGGCAGACUAGAGGCAGGUAGGGGAGAAUGGAAUUCCCGGUGUAGCGGUGAAAUGCGCAGAUAUCGGGAGGAACACCGGUGGCGAAGGCGGUUCUCUGGGCCUUACCUGACGCUGAGGAGCGAAAGCGUGGGGAGCGAACAGG
rnacentral:rRNA from 1 species